CCUUCAGAGAAGUGAUCAAA
rnacentral:snRNA from 1 species